UACGGGGGGAGCAAGCGUUGUUCGGAUUUACUGGGCGUAAAGGGCGCGUAGGCGGUCAGCACAAGUCAGUUGUGAAAUCUCCGGGCUUAACCCGGAAAGGUCAACUGAUACUGUGCGACUAGAGUGCGGAAGGGGCAACUGGAAUUCUCGGUGUAGCGGUGAAAUGCGUAGAUAUCAGGAGGAACACCAAUGGCGAAGGCAGCUCGCUGGGACGGUACUGACGCUGAGGCGCGAAAGCGUGGGGAGCAAACAGG
rnacentral:rRNA from 1 species